AGAACCGGUUUGGAUUUGCAGAACCGUGUUGCCAAACAAGGCUUCAGGUUGAUUGGGAACAAGCGUAAAGACUAAAGAGGCCGCAAUAAAGGAAGCUCCAAAUGGCCGAUCUUUUGUCCCUACAACUGACACUUCCAUCGCCUUCAGUUCCAUUCACUGCUUCGAAGCACAAGAUGCCAACCAAAUCCAUGGCUGCUUCUGUUUUUGGAAGCGCCGCCACUGCCGCCGCCGCCUCAUCAACCACUCGUUUCCUCUCCUCAGCCGCCAGAGCUACACUAUCUUUCUCUUCACGUUCAUCAUCACUCCUUUCUCGCUCCUCGUCAUCGUCGUCUCUCAAGUCUCUCGGAUCGUCUCCUUCUAUUUCUCACCUUUUUCUGAAUCAGGGGAGACCGAGUUCUCGUGUAUCCAACAGAGGAUUCAGUGCGGCGUCUAAUCCGAAAUGCCUGUCAUCGGAUCCUGAGCAGUUGAAGAAUGCUAGAGAAGAUAUCAAGCAGCUCCUGAAGACCACAUUCUGCCAUCCUAUUUUGGUACGCCUAGGUUGGCAUGAUGCUGGAACUUACAAUAAAGAUAUUGAGGAUUGGCCACAGAGAGGUGGAGCUAAUGGAAGUUUAAGAUUUGAUGUUGAACUGGGACAUGGUGCUAAUGCUGGUCUUGUUAAUGCCUUGAAACUCAUUGAGCCUAUCAAAAAGAAGUAUUCUAACGUGACAUAUGCUGACCUAUUUCAGUUGGCUAGUGCUACAGCUAUCGAGGAGGCUGGGGGACCCAAAAUUCCCAUGAAGUAUGGAAGGGUGGAUGUUGUGGGGCCAGAGCAAUGCCCUGAAGAGGGAAGGCUUCCUGAUGCUGGUCCUCCGUCACCUGCUGCACAUCUACGAGAUGUUUUCUACAGAAUGGGGUUGAAUGACAAGGAAAUAGUUGCAUUAUCCGGGGCACACACCUUAGGGAGAUCUAGGCCAGAACGCAGUGGUUGGGGCAAGCCAGAGACCAAAUAUACGAAAGAUGGACCUGGUGCACCCGGUGGGCAAUCCUGGACUGCACAAUGGUUGAAGUUUGACAACUCGUAUUUUAAGGAUAUCAAAGAAAGGACAGAUCAAGAAUUACUGGUGUUGCCAACUGAUGCUGUUCUCUUUGGAGAUCCAUCAUUCAAGGUUUAUGCUGAAAAAUAUGUUGAAGACCAAGAAGCAUUCUUCAAAGACUAUGCGGAAGCCCAUGCUAAACUCAGCAACCUUGGUGCUAAAUUUGACCCUCCAGAGGGUAUUGUGAUUGAUGAUGCAUCUUCGACACCUGCAUGAGAGAAGUUAGAUGCUGACAAAUACUCGCAUGGAAAGGUUGUAUACAUUACAAACUUUCAUAUUUAACCUAUAUUCAACCCUGUCAACAGUGAUGUCUUCUAAAACUUCAGGUCUUAAAUGAAGUAGAAUGAAACAAAAUUCAACAGUAUUGCAUAUUUGAUUUGCAGAGAGAGAGCUAUCAGACACAAUGAAGCAGAAGAUUCGGGCAGAAUACGAAGCUUUUGGUGCAAGUCCAGAUAAGCCUUUAUCAACGAACUUCUUUCUAAAUAUCAUUGUUGUGAUUGCUGUUUUGGGAAUUUUGACAUCCCUGCUUGGAAAAUAAUUUGAGUUUUUUAAUCUAUUUUCGAAAUGGUCUGUUUCUCAACAAAAUUUCUUAUGAUUUCACGAUUUAUUUCUUCUA